rnacentral:rRNA from 1 species
AACGAACGCUGGCGGCAUGCCUAACACAUGCAAGUCGAACGAGACCUUCGGGUCUAGUGGCGCACGGGUGCGUAACGCGUGGGAACCUGCCCUUAGGCUCGGAAUAACUCCCCGAAAGGGGUGCUAAUACCGGAUAAUGUCUUCGGACCAAAGAUUUAUCGCCUUUGGAUGGGCCCGCGUUGGAUUAGCUAGUUGGUAGGGUAAAAGCCUACCAAGGCGACGAUCCAUAGCUGGUCUGAGAGGAUGAUCAGCCACACUGGGACUGAGACACGGCCCAGACUCCUGCGAGAGGCAGCGGUGGGGAAUAUUGGACAGUGAGCGAAAGCCUGAUCCAGCGAUGCCGCGUGGGUGAUGAAGGCCUUAGGGUUGUAAAGCUCUUUUACCCGGGAUGAUAAUGACAGUACCGGGAGAAUAAGCUCCGGCUAACUCCGUG